CCAGGGAGCAGGCGGAGCCAAUUACAGUCAGUCUGCCAAGGAGCAGGUGGAGCCAGUUAUAGUCAGUCGGUCAGGUAGCAGGCGGAGCCAGUUACAGUCAGUCGGACAGGUAGCAGGCGGAGCCAGUUACAGUCAGUCGGUCAGGUAGCAGGCGGAGCCAGUUACAGUCAGUCGGUCAGGUAGCAGGCGGAGCCAGUUACAAUCAGUCUGUCAGGUAGCAGGCGGAGCCAGUUACAGUCAGUCGGUCAGGUAGCAGGCGGAGCCAGUUACAGUCAGUCGGUCAGGUAGCAGGCGGAGCCAGUUACAGUCAGUCGGUCGGUCAGGUAGCAGGCGGAGCCAGUUACAGUCAGUCGGUCAGGUAGCAGGCGGAGCCAGUUAUAGUCAGUCGGUCAGGUAGCAGGCGGAGCCAGUUACAGUCGGUCAGGUAGCAGGCGGAGCCAGUUAUA